rnacentral:rRNA from 1 species
AUGAAGCUCAAUGGCAAUGUGCCCGCUGUUCUUUGGAUAGGCGAGUACCUUGCUCUGCCGCUUGAGACCUGGGCCAGCCGGCCCUGCUUGUCCCAAUGUAAAGGAGACCAACUUUCUGCAGAAAUCUUUAAUGAUAAAGAUGAUCUUAAGUUCCAAUCAUCACGUGAAGACACAAAUAUUGAGUAUUUCUUAGUUGCGGCCGGACGAAGCCAUCUCUACCUGAUCAAUGAGGUCAGAGUUGAAACAGACCCACAAGACAGAACUCAGCUCUGGAUAGGUCUUCGGGAGCUGAGUUAUUUUACCUCAGUUUACCCCCUUUUAGCAGCCACCAUUAAUUUUUCCUGGCACUCCUUUUGA